AGAUGAGAAGAAGCUGGAGGCUCUUCAAUGCAAGCGAGGUGCCCCAAACUGCAAAGAGCUCUUGAAAAGAGGGACGAUUCUGAGCGGCUGGUACACCAUCUACCCCCAGGACUGCCAGCCCCUGCAGGUGCUGUGCGACAUGGACACUGAUGGAGGCGGAUGGAUUGUCUUCCAAAGGAGGUCGGAUGGCUCGGUCGACUUUUUCCGCAAUUGGGCUGCCUACAAGAGGGGAUUUGGAAACCAGCUGACUGAAUUCUGGUUGGGGAAUGACAACAU